ensembl:lncRNA
GAGGGUGGGAGGGUGGGGAUUCUAAACUGUGAGCUUCUCGGCCCCCUCCCCUCAGCCUCACAGCCUCGUAAUUGGUUGAGUGUCCUCAUCCAUCAAGUCUGCUGGUGAUGAGAAAUGCUGCAUUUCCCUUGCCUGGGGCCUUGGGCUGGAUGGUUAGGGGAGGGAGCGUGUACAGGUACAAGCUCUGUCUUCAGUGGUUUUAUGGUCUAAUGUGUGAGGCCAGAACAACUCACUGGGAACCAGUUGAAAUAUAUAAUACCACGUACAAACGGAGCAGGUUUGACUUGCCAGCCCAGUAGCAUGUGGGAAACCCAUCAGUUUAACAAGGGAGGGAGCUAGAAGCAUCAUCUCCCAGCUGAGGGCUUUGCAGCAUUAUAGGCUCUCCUUGGCCGUGGACUGGCUCAGCUUCCUCGUGUAUGAAGCCUUCCAAAUUGGGAGGUUUUCUCGGGGCGUGGAGGUGCUCAGAGCUGGCUGUCACCUUGCUGCUUUGUAUUGUUUCCUCAGAACAGAGAAUCAGUGACAGAACCCUACUUAAGGCCCUGUGCAUCUGAGCUUUAUGAUUGUCCAUGUACUCAUCCAUUUAUUCAACAUACAUUGGUUGAGCACCUAUGACACCAGGCACAGCAUGAGGCUUUGAGGACAUAGUGGGGGCAGCGUGAUCCCUGUCCUAAUGAUGCAUGAGGUGGACAGUCAUUACACAGAAGAACCACGAGGGAAGGGCACAGAUUGUUAAAAGAGCCUAUCAUUGUGUCUUUGUUGUUGCUGUAAUAUUUAAUCAACAACACUGUGGCCUGGGACGAAAGUGCCAUAGCAGGCGCGAGAAGCAGUCAGUAUAAGUAUUCCUUCCUCUCCCCACUCUCCCUCUCCAAACUCCACCGUCCGGUGCGGAAGACUCAGAUUCAGGUCCAUUUUCCAACGAAUCCACUAUCUGAAACUCUGGAAUGCGUGGAUUUGAUAACCCAGUAUCCCUCAAAAUCCAGAUUUGCUGUCUGAACUCCUGAUACUUGAACGCGGUCACCAAAUAGACGUGGCCAGGGAGGGCAGGGCGGAGCGGCGAGUGGGUGACGAGUGAAGGGCUGUGGCGUCUCAGGUAGGACAAUGGAGACCUGGGGCUCCACGGCCCCCGGAUGACUGACACUGAAUGAGGGCGUGCAGGUCUGCGCGCAGCCAUUUAAAGUGGAAAUCGUUAAUGGAACACAGGACUUGACUUUGGUAGUGUGACUUUAGUAGUGUCUCAUGUUUCUCCUGUCCUGGGAGGCAGGCUGGACCUUAACCUGCUCAUGUGUGUCUGACUUUGUCAGCAGAGAUUAACUUUGCAGAACUUUGUCCUUUCGAAGAGGCCCCUCUGCGGGGUAACAAAAAAAUUCUGCAAGCUUUCUGAGCUGUUCUCCAGGUAGGUAUCUCUGCAUCACCCAAACAUUAUCCCACUGAGUUUCCUCUUUCCUGGCAGCUGUCCUUUGACUCUGAAGUGUUCUGUGCCUGCCCAGACCCCGUAGAUACUGGGAGCCAGGCUCUGUUCUGCCUGACGGCCACAAACACAGCAUAAACCACAAGUCCUCCCGAGCCUGGGCCUGUCUGUGGGAGCAUUUCAACUCCCCUACUUGAGAGUUGAAGUGACCUGGAUUUGUAGAGAGAGUGGUUUCAAUCCAGUUGUGUCAGAAUCAGCAGGCGAGAGCAGUGGGACGUGUGUGUCCCUGCAGCAUAAAGGGGGACACACACACACACUGUUAUCCCAGCUCCAGGACUGGGUUCUGAGUGGCUCGAGCUGAUCAGAGUAUCCCAUUCCCCUGGUUGCAGUGAUUGGAUUGGGAACGGGCCAAGAGAGACCAAAUUCCAGAAGAUUUACUCACCAGCGCACCCUCCUUCCCCGCCCAGGGUAGUGGGAGCGGCGAGAUCCGGAACUGCUGCUGCUGUGGCGAUUUCUCACCAGGAAGGGAGAGCCUAGGGAAUGUCUCCAGGCCUCGGCUCAGAGACAACGUGAAACCCAGAACUGUGCACAGCGUACAGACAAAAAACAUCUCCCAAAGAAGCCCUCUAUUUCUGGUGUGAAGAAUGGGAAAGAGAGCCCCUCCAGUGUUCCAGCCCAAAGAAGCAGACAGCAGCAUGCAGGCGGAACCUAACCAGGCUGAUAGCCUGAUAAAACAGACAAAGAGCAACAUUUUCCAUAGGAUUUAAACAAGACCCAUCAUCCCAUAACAGUAUUCAAAGUGUCCAGGUACAUUCCAAUAUUGCUUGAUAUUUGAAGACUCAAGAAAAUCUCAACUUCGCUCAAGGGAGAAGACAAUCAAGAGACAACAACUGAGAUGACACAGCUAUUGGAAUCGAGACAUUAGAGCAGCUAUUGCACGUAUGCUCCAAGAAGGAAGGGCAAAUCUCCUUGAAAUGAAUAGAAAGAUCGACAGUCUCAUCAGAGAAACAGAUGAUAUAAAAGGAACCAAAUUGAAGUUUUAGAAAUGAAAAAUACAGCGACAAAAAUGAAAAAACUUAUUGGAUAAAUUCAGUAACAGAAUGUAGAUGACACAGUCCGUGAACUUAAAAAUAAUUCAACAGAUCAAUAUAAAUCAAUAUAAAUUGACCUGUAGAUCAAUAUAAAUUGUCCAGUUGAACAAGAGAAAGGAAAUAGAUUGAAAAAACUAAAUCCUUAGCAACCUGUGGGACAGUACCAAAAGGUCUAACAUUCUUGUCCUCAGAGACUCAGUAGGAAGGGAGAAAGUCUAAUGCAGAAAAACAAUUUUGAAGACAUAAUGUCUGAAAACUUCUUAAAUUUGGUGAAAGGCAUAAAGUUACAGAUUCAAGAGGCUCAAUGACACCAAACAGUAAGCUUAGGAAAAUCCACGUCCAGCCACAUCAUAAUCAAACUACUGAAACUAAAGACAGAGACAAAAAUCUUGAAAAACAGAGAAAAACAGUGCAUUAAAAAUAGGGAACAACAAUUUGAAUGACCGUGAAUUUCUCAUCAGAAGCCAGAGGCCAGAAGGCAGUAGACCAUUUUUAAAGUACUGAGAGAAAAAAACCCAAGCCAUCAACUCAGAAUUCUAUAUUCUGCAAAAAUAUCCUUUAGGAAUGAAGGUGAAAUAAAGACUUUUUCAGGUGAAGAAAAAGUAAGAGAAUUCAUUGUCAACAGACUUGCAGAAAUGCUAAAGGAAGUUCUUUAGACAGAAGGGAGAUGAUACCAGAGGGAAGCUUGGGGCAUUAGGAACGAAGGAACAGCAACAGAAAUGGUCAAUAUCUGGGUAAACAGAAAAGAUGAUUUUUUCUCUUGAGUUCUUUAAAAUGUGUGUGAUGGUCAAAAACAAAAGUCAUAACAUUGCCUGAUGGGGUUUUCAACUUAUGUAUAUAUAAUACAUAUGAUGAUCAAAACUGAAAAGCAAGAGGGUAAAGAUACCUAUACGGUCGUAAGGUAAGGUUUCAAAAUGUUCAGAGUAGACUGAAAAUUUAACUAUGUAUAUUGUAACUCCUAGAGCAACUUCUAAACAAAGACAUGGUAAGAAACUCAAUAGAUGAAGUAAAAUGAAUACUAAAAAUGUUCAAAAAAUCCAAAAGAAUACAGAAGGAGGAAAUAAAGCAAUGAAAUACAGAGCAAACAAACAAGAAACAAAAAAUAAAAUGGUACACCUAAAUGCAAACAUAUCAGUAAUUACAUUCAAUGUAAUAUCUAAACAUACCAACUAGAGGCCACAAAUUUCAGAACGGAUUAAAAAAAAAGACCCAACUGUAUCAUAAGCACACACACAAAACCCAAUAUAAAUAUAGUGACGUAAGUCAGUCAAAAGUAAGAGAGGAAAAAUACGUACCAGGCAAACAUGAACUGUGUUAUAAUAUACAAGUAAACAUCAACUAUAAGCCACAGUAUUUGCACACGUUGUUGGUGAGAAUAUAAAUGGUUCAACCACUUUGGAAAAUAGCUUGACAUUAUCUGCUGAAAUCACAUACCACAUGACCCACAAUUCCACUCCUAAGAUGUUCUCAAUAGAACUGCACACAUAGAUGCCCCAAGAGACAUGUUCUAGAAUAUUCAUAGCAGUGUUAUUAAUUAUAACCCCAAAAUAAAAGAACCCAAAUGUCCAUAAACAAUAGAAUGGAUAAAUAGAGUAACAUAUUCACAUGUGAAACACUAGGCAACGGCAAGUGAACUAAAGCAACGUGCAAGGACGUGGAUGAGUUUCACAGGCAUAAUGUUGAAGAAAGAAGCCACAAAAAGACACAAAGAAACUCAUUCAAAAACAGCCAAAACCAACCUAUGGACUUUGGUAUCACGAGAGCAGGUGUUUUGGGAGGAAUGGCAAGAAAUGAUCUGGAGGAGUCUGGCAACAUUCUCUUUCUUGCUCUGGGUUCUGGUUCCACGGUCUGUACAUUUUAUGCAUUUUCUGCAAGUGUAUUAUACGUCAAUAAAAGCAAUUUUGAAACCAUUUUUAAAAGUCAGGAUGGAAACAUUAAUGGAGGGAGUGCUGGUCUUGCUGUGGAAAGGGAAGAGAGCCAGAGAGAAGUGAUUUCAGGAUUAGACUCAGAUAAGUGCUGAUUGAGCAUCUGCCAUACGCCAGAACUGUCCUAAAUGUUUUCAUAGAUGUUAUCUCAUUUAACCCGCCCCAACUGACAAACGAGAAAAUGGAGACAAUGGUAAUAGUAAUCAACUGGGCCAAGCACUGUUGGAGCGAUUUCAGGAUUAACUCUAAUUUUCAGUCCCAUGAGGUCGAAACCAGCAGGCCCUUCUGGGAGCACUCCUGCAGGCCCUUCCUCUGGGCCCGGCAGUCCCCACGGCCUCACACCAGACUUCUGACCUUGUCUCCAAGUGCGUCUAUACCCACAGCCCCAGAGGUGCAUUGACUGGAC